GAGCGUUAUCCGGAUUUACUGGGCGUAAAGCGCGUGCAGGCGGUCCAGCAAGUUGGAUGUGAAAGCUCCCGGCUUAACUGGGAGAGGUCGUUCAAUACUACUGGACUUGAGAGUGGUAGAGGGAGGUGGAAUUCCGGGUGUAGUGGUGAAAUGCGUAGAUAUCCGGAGGAACACCAGUGGCGAAAGCGGCCUCCUGGACCACUUCUGACGCUCAGACGCGAAAGCUAGGGUAGCGAACGGGAUUAGAGACCCCGGUAGUCCUAGCCGUAAACGAUGUAGACUUGGCGUUGGUGGGUUCAAAUCCAUCAGUGCCGAAGCUAACGCGAUAAGUCUACCGCCUGGGGACUACGGCCGCAAGGUUAAAACUCAAAGGAAUUGACGGGGCCCCGCACAAGCAGCGGAGCGUGUGGUUUAAUUCGAUGAUACACGAAGAACCUUACCAGGGUUUGACAUGCAAGUGGUAGGGAUCCGAAAGGUGACCGACCCUUCGGGGAGCUUGCACAGGUGCUGCAUGGCUGUCGUCAGCUCGUGUCGUGAGAUGUUCGGUUAAGUCCGCUAACGAACGCAACCCUCGCUGUGUGUUACAUGU
rnacentral:rRNA from 1 species